ACAUUACGAGAGUGUAACCACUCCCAACCCAUUGUUUACCUACCCGUCCACCGUGCUUCGGCAGGCAGUCCUGUGGGACAGGGCCUCGCCCCCUCCGGGGGGUGCCUGCCGCUGGCCAACCAACCAUUCUAGUUUUUUUGUAUUAUCUGAGUCUUCCACAAAUGAACAAAACUUUCAACAACGGAUCUCUUGGUUCUGGCAUCGAUGAAGAACGCAGCGAAAUGCGAUAAGUAAUGUGAAUUGCAGAAUUCAGUGAAUCAUCGAAUCUUUGAACGCACAUUGCGCCCACUAGUAUUCUGGUGGGCAUGCCUGUUCGAGCGUCAUUUCAACCCUCAAGCCUGGCUUGGUGUUGGGGCUCUGCAUCUGCAGUCCCUUAAAUCCAGUGGCGGACACGCUAGGUCUCCGAGCGCAGUAGUUUCUCCUCGCUCAGGGCGUCCGGCGUGGGCUUGCCUCGCACCCAUCUUAUCAAGGUUGACCUCGGAUCAGGUAGGAAUACCCGCUGAACUUAAGC
rnacentral:rRNA from 1 species